UCAAUCCCACAUCUCUGUGUGGAGUUUGCAUGUUCUCCCUGUGCAUGUGUGUUUUUUUUCCGGGUACUCCGGUUUCCUCCCACAUUCCAAAAACAUGCUAGGUUAAUUAGCGACUCCAAAUUGUCCAUAGGUAUGAAUGUGAGUGUGAAUGGUUGUUUGUCUAUAUAUCCCCUGUGAUUGACUGGCCACCAGUCCAGGGUGUACGCCGCCUCUCGCCCAAAGACAGCUGGGUAGAAAAUGAAUGAAUUUAUUGCAAUAGAAAUUAUGAGUGGGUGGGAGACCACAAGUCGGGUGCCAUGGAGGUACGAAUUGAAACCUUGAAAGUGAUUAACUUCUUUUUACACUUGUGGAACAGCUUCACUUCAGAGCCUCGUCUUCCUGGAGCUGCCAUGACUGUUAUUUUUAAAUUUAUGCUGUUUCCCUUGCUUUCUUCAUGGUUCCACAGUAUAAGAUGUACCACAUGAAAUCAUAUUUAACUAUUUUAUUCUUACCUCUGUCAGUGUUGGUGUUGCAGGGUGGAAGACCAACUUUGCUCUUUCCAAGGUCGACGACUGGAGGACGCACAACUACCUACAGAAGACACAGCGGGUUGCCGGGUCAAGGCCAUCAUGGACGCGCCUGACUGGGUCUAGCAGGCCGCCGGGGAAUCUCAAGAACCACUUUGGGCCCCACUGAGCUGUUUCUACAUCCCCUGUGGACCAGUAAAGGAGAAGAAGACACCAGGUCAGAGCAGCCAUGAUGCACCCUGCAGCAAUCUGACACGCAACCAACCAUACGAAAUGUGACACAGGAGUUACAGUCUACUGGUUCCCAAUCCGCACUGGAAUUUAGCCGCUUGACUCUCCCAGUUGGGCCCCUCCAUGCAGGCCCCAGCGGCGGGAGUGCAGCAGCAGAAGCGGGGAAGACCAG